GAUCCUACGGGACGCAGCAGUGAGGAAUAUUGGUCAAUGGCCGAGAGGCUGAACCAGCCAAGUCGCGUGAGGGAUGACGGCCCUACGGGUUGUAAACCUCUUUUGUCGGGGAGCAAAGAGAGUCACGUGUGGCUCAUUGAGAGUACCCGAAGAAAAAGCAUCGGCUAACUCCGUGCCAGCAGCCGCGGUAAUACGGAGGAUGCGAGCGUUAUCCGGAUUUAUUGGGUUUAAAGGGAGCGUAGGCCGGCUUUUAAGUCAGCUGUGAAAGUCCGCGGCUCAACCGUGGAAUUGCAGUUGAAACUGGG
rnacentral:rRNA from 1 species